AUCCUACAGGUCCUAUGGCUGGGUGGAGGGUCCUACAGGUCCUAUGGCUGGGUGGAGGGUCCUACAGGUCCUAUGGCUGGGUGGAGGGUCUUACAGGUCCUAUGGCUGGGUGGAGGGUCCUACAGGUUCUAUGGCUGGGUGGAGGGUCCUACAGGUCCUAUGGCUGGGUGAAGGGUCUUACAGGCCCUAUGGCUGGGUGGAGGGUCUUACAGGUCCUAUGGCUGGGUGGAGGUUCUUACAGGCCCUAUGGCUGGGUGGAGGGUUUUACAGGUCCUAUGGCUGGGUGGAGGGUCUUACAGGUCCUAUGGCUGGGUGGAGGUUCUUACAGGCCCUAUGGCUGGGUGGAGGUUCUUACAGGCCCUAUGGCUGGGUGGAGGGUUUUACAGGUCCUAUGGCUGGGUGGAGGGUCCUACAGGCCCUAUGGCUGGGUGGAGGGUUUUACAGGUCCUAUGGCUGGGUGGAGGGUCUUACAGGUCCUAUGGCUGGGUGGAGGUUCUUACAGGCCCUAUGGCUGGGUGGAGGUUCUUACAGGCCCUAUGGCUGGGUGGAGGGUCCUAUAGGCCCCAUGUGAGGGCCAUGCUUUUCCAUUCCUCUUCAAAACUCUGGCACCACAAAUUGGACAUUGGACUGGUAGUGUUCUGGAGCGGAGCUGGGAAGUGAGUCUGGAGAGAGAGUAAAAAAGUGAGAUGGAGAAGUUGAGGGAGAUCAAUAUCUAGAAAUAAAGAGAGGGAGAGAAAAUGAAUGAACAAACGAACUAGGGAGAGAACAACUAAAUGAGAGAAGAGAAAAGGAGUACCUCUCCAAGGUUCUGGAAAAUGUGAGUGCGGCG
rnacentral:lncRNA from 1 species